UACGAAGGGGGCUAGCGUUGUUCGGAAUUACUGGGCGUAAAGAGUUCGUAGGCGGUGCGGCAAGUUCGGUGUGAAAUCUCCCGGCUCAACUGGGAGGGUGCGCUAAAUACUGCCGUGCUCGAGUAUAGGAGAGGUAAGCGGAAUUCCUGGUGUAGCGGUGAAAUGCGUAGAUAUCAGGAGGAACACCUGUGGUGUAGACGGCUUACUGGACUAUAACUGACGCUGAGGAACGAAAGCGUGGGUAGCAAACAGG
rnacentral:rRNA from 1 species